rnacentral:tRNA from 1 species
CCGGGAUAGCUCAGUUGGUAGAGCAGAGGACWRAAAAUCCUCGUGUAA